UUGCUGUGCAGACACUGUGGGCAUUCAACCGGCAAACGGGAGACUGCCUCACACAUCUCACAGAAAUGCCCCCAGACCAAACGCCUGAAUAUCCAGAGGCACAACAAGAUAGUACAUCUUGUUGGGGAGCAUGCACGGAUGGAAUGAUUUACGGUGCACGUAGAACACGCCCUGAAAUCAGAAGGCCAGGUCUACAAGCCUGACCUAGGGCACAGGGGAACAAUCCUAGGAAUAACAACACGUAGAACACGCCCUGAAAUCAAAGGGGGCGCCGCGCACAUCCUCGAUGUGGCGGUACCGUGGGAAACCGGCACCAAUAUGCAUGAGCACUAUGAACGCAAGGUACACAAAUACAGCAUGAUAAGCGAUGACGUUAAAGCACACUUUGGCGUCCAUAGCUGCACGGUGGGAGCUAUUGUAGUGGGCGCUAGGUCCAGCUGGUGUGCCAGCAACCGCCUUGCACUUAAAGCAUGCAGCAUGCACUUCACAAAAAGGUUCAAGCGAUUGCUCUGCAGAGUAGCUCUAGAGGGCACCUGCAGGGUCUUCCAGACCUUUUUCACCAGCACCACAUGACACUGCACCACAAAAUAAAAAAAAUCCCAAAAAAAUAUAUAAAACACAAAAUCAAAAAAAAUAUAAAAAAUUAAAAAAUUAAAAAUUAAAUUGCGUUAGAGGUGAAAUUCUUGGAUCGCAGCAAGAUGAACAAUUGCGAAAGCAUUUGCCAAGAAUGUUUUCAUUAAUCAAGAACGAAAGUUAGAGGUUCGAAGGCGAUCAGAUACCGCCCUAGUUCUAACGGUAAACUAUGCCAACCAGCGAUUCGCCGAAGUUCAUUUAAGACUCGGCGAGCAGCUUCCGGGAAACCAAAGUGUUUCGGUUCCGGGGGAAGUAUGGUUGCAAAGCUGAAACUUAAAGGAAUUGACGGAAGGGCACCACCAGGAGUGGAGCCUGCGGCUUAAUUUGACUCAACACGGGAAAACUCACCCGGCCCGGACACUGGAAGGAUUGACAGAUUGACAGCUCUUUCUUGAUUCAGUGGGUAGUGGUGCAUGGCCGUUCUUAGUUGGUGGAGCGAUUUGUCUGGUUAAUUCCGAUAACGAACGAGACUCUACCCUAUUAAAUAGUGACAGUAUUGUAUUUUUUGUGCUGAUCACUUCUUAGAGGGACUGGCAAAUUGAAAGCUGCACGAAAAAGAGCAAUAACAGGUCUGUGAUGCCCUUCGAUGUCCGGGGCUGCACGCGCGCUACAAUGAAAGCGUCAACGUGAGUUACGUCCUUACCUGAAAAGGUUUGGCAAUCGAAUGAAACGUUUUCUUGAAUGGAAUAGGGAAUUGCAAUUGUUUCCCUUGAACGAGGAAUUCCCAGUAAGCGUGAGUCAUUAGCUCGCGUUGAUUACNCUAUCCGGGACCGUUUAAAUGCACUAUAUGCACGUUUACCGAGUGUGUUUACUCACGGUUUAGUAAUCACUG
rfam:Trichinella patagoniensis scaffold581s, whole genome shotgun sequence.